CACGGGGGGAGCAAGCGUUGUUCGGAAUUACUGGGCGUAAAGGGCGUGUAGGCGGUCAGGUAAGUGGAAUGUGAAAUGCCCCGGCUCACCCGGGGACCUGCAUCCCAAACUGCCUGGCUUGAGUAUGGGAGAGGAUGAGGGAAUUCCUGGUGUAGCGGUGAAAUGCGUAGAUAUCAGGAGGAACACCGGUGGCGAAGGCGCUCAUCUGGCCCAAUACUGACGCUGAUGCGCGAAAGCUAGGGGAGCAAACGGG
rnacentral:rRNA from 1 species